GAUUAAAAUAAUAAUAAUUUAUAAUAUAUGUCUACCUAAAAACGAGACAAAAACGUUUCAUGGACAAACUAAUCAUUGGUGAUUUCGUCAUGGAAAGUAGCAGACGGGAGCCAAUCAGAGCUACGUUUGUUGCUAGAAGGCGGUGCAUACAAACGGAGAUCCAAUCAUAGCGAACAUGUGACCUGUAAUAGAAUAAAUAGAAGAAGCAUGGAGCUAAUAGUGGAAAUAUUCUGGUCCACUGGUGGUCAAACCAUGUCAGGUGGAACAGAUCUAACUUUACGUUAGUGAAGCCAAGACUGUACGGAACGACUAGGCGAGAAAGGAUAAGAACGACAAAUUUGAGGCGUCAUCUCCAGACACGUCAUCAUGAGAGUCACACAUAGAAAAGACAAAAAAACAAGUGAACGUUGCCAAAGUGACCGCCGACGGUCCGAGCUUUCGCACCUCCUGAAGUACGUCGUACCUCCUGUGGAGACUGCUUCAAACUGCUCCGUGAGAAGCCACACCUCCCACAGAAGUGUCAGCACGUUCAUCACCAUCAUGACCGCUACCCAGAAUUCCUCUCCUAACAAAGUGAGCCACAGUGACAAACUGUGACCUCCCGACGGCACCUUUUUAAACAGGUAAAUGUAUAAAUGAAGAUCACUUUAAAGGGAAGCAGACAGUGAAGCACAGCACAUAAAAGAGGACAACACGUAAUUGAUUGCCAGCAAAGUCCAGAAGGAAUCCUGACUCCAGGAUUGUCAAUUGCCAAUCCCAGCAGUCACUGCAUGAGACAAGUUACACCCUGGAUAAUGCAGCUACAGCAUCGCAGGACACAUGGAGAUAAGUAACCAUUCAAACUCACACUCACACCUAUCCUCAGUUUGUAGAGGGAGGAGAUCCUUUUGCUGUAAGGCAGGAAACCUGAUCCUAUUUCCUCACCAUGAAUACCCUAAAAUCACAUGGACGUUUCUCCCUGGCUGCUUCCUCCAGAGGUCACCUCAACUGAUCACCUGCCUUUCUCUCAUCCUUAUCUCUUUCCUCAUCUACUGUUACACCAACCUUCUUAUCAGCAUCUCCAGAUUGCUCAGUUUACUCUCUUUGGUUUCUAUUUGACAUCAACAAAGAUAAUACCCUGUGUGAUGCACAGUUAUAUACUGCAGUAAAUAAAAAGAGUAAAGAACACCUACCC